rnacentral:lncRNA from 1 species
CUCUUUCAUCUUCCCAUCAUGGCCGCCGCCUGUGCGCCUCUGCUGAGUCGUAUGUAUUUCCCUCCUGACAUUUUUUUUCAGAUGUUCCAGUCACUUUAUGGCCUCACCAACAGAAAUGAGAUUAAAAAGAAUUUGUCAAACUAUCUUUAAUAAUGCCCCUUCACUCUGCCUGUGACGUAUUAGUGACCUCUGAGCUAGAGUCUUGUAGUCACUUCCUGGUGACCCCUGACCCCGUUGAUUUCCGUCCGCUAGGUUGCUCUCACCCAUGGCGUUUGCUGGUUAUGAGAUUUGCGGAACGUGUGGUGGUGGUAAAGGGCACCAACUGUUGUCAACCUGCAUGUGGGGGUCUGAGGUCUGGCUCUACAGCUUGUAAAAUGGAAAUAAUAAUGCCCAGAGGAUGAAAUUAGGCCACAUAGGCCGCUUGGCAUCAUAGUAAGCACUCAGUAAAGGUCAAUUGUUAUUAACCAUUUUUAUACAGCGCCUUUGUUUAGGUGCAGAGCUUUAUCAGAGCCAAAAGAUCUCUGCGCUCUGUUGGAAAAGAUAGUUCCUGCAGUAAUUAUUAGUACCCCAUUUAAUGGCUAAGUAAUUAUAGCUAACAGUGCUAGGAUUUCUUUUUCAUAUAUGACUUCAUUUGAACUUUUCAGUACUAUUUGUUGAUUUCAUAAUUUUUCGAGCACUGCUGUUGAAACUGCCUUUGCAAAAUUACAACUGAGGAAAUUAUGAUAGUGGAAGAAAUCAGACUUAACCGACUCCAUCUUGCUUCUAACCUUUAAGCUGUCCUUAUUCAUUCCUGGGUGUAGGUGGAACUAACUUUGGGGAGGAAUUCAGUUUAUGGUUUGAAACAAAAUUGAUAAUAGCCCCUUCCCGAAAAGACCCCCUUCUUGCCUGGGGACCAGUCUGUCUUUACAGGACUAACAAAUUAGCUACAAGAUUACAAAUUACAGUUUAGGGGACAUGCAGCCUCUCGCUCCAAGAGUCUGAACCUCCCCAAAUUGCUUUUAGGAAUAACAUAACUAUUGUAAAACCUAAGAUUAGUGCUUGAGAUGUUUUGCAGACCCUGCACUCAUUGGAUCAGCUGACUACCUAGACCAGUAACCUGGCUCAAUCAGUUCUGCCAUUCCACCCAGGAACAGAAAACAGCAAGAAAACCUCACUUUGACUCCCUGUGAUUCCGUCUUCAACCUGACCAAUCAGCACUCCCCGCUUCCCAAGCUCCUACUCGCCAAAUUAUCUUUAAGAACUCUGAUCCUCAAAUGCUCAGGGAGACUAAUUUGUGUAAUAAUAAAACUCUGGUCUCCCACACAGCUGGCUCUGCGUGAAUUACUCUUUCUCCAUUGCAAUUCCCUGGUCUUGAUAAAUCAGCUUUGUCAAGGCAGCAGGCAGGGUGAACCCACUGAGCGCUGACAUUGUGUGCCAAGCCAUGUUCUUGGGUCUGGAAAUAGAGCAGUGAACAAAAGUGUUUGUUCUCAUAUUAUUGACAGUAAAUAUCAGUUAUUCUGAGGCACAGAGUGGUUUAUUCACUGAAAAAUUUGCACUUUAGGCUGUGCUGGAAACUAUAUAUUAGGCAUUGAGCAUGCUUUACUAAACAAGCAGAUUGUUCUUGUCCUCUGUUUUGUUUUGUGACAGUCUUGCUCUGUCUCCAGGCCGGAGUGCAGUGGCCCAAUCUUGGCUCACUGCAACUUCCGCCUCCUGGUUUCAAGCGAUUCUUAUGCCUCAGACUCCCGAGUAGCUGGGAUUACAGGCAUGCGCCACCACCCCAGC